rnacentral:rRNA from 1 species
AUGGAGAAAUGCUAUAACCUGAUCUUAAAGGUGGCGGUCGGCUAUGUCUUACCUCCUCGAGCUGAGGGAACUUCCCAUUGCCGUCCGAUUCCACAUGGCUUUGCUAUUGUCGGGGUGGAUGAAAUAAUGGACGGAUUUGAGGGGCUGGAGCUUGAGUACUCUAUAGGUGAAAGGGGGAUUCUUCUGGAAAAUACCUUAAGGACUACCUGUCUAUGGAGAAUGGAGAACAUGAAGCUUCCAAACUGGACGCCGCCUCAGCAGACUCGAUCGGGGGAGGACCCUCAGCAGACUCCUCACAGUCCAGCUUAG